GACGAACGCUGGCGGCGUGCCUAAUACAUGCAAGUCGAGCGCAGGAAGCUGACGGAACUCUUCGGAGGGAAGGCAGUGGAAUGAGCGGCGGACGGGUGAGUAACACGUAAGGAACCUGCCUCAAGGAUUGGGAUAACUCCGAGAAAUCGGAGCUAAUACCGGAUAGUUCAACGGACCGCAUGGUCCGCUGAUGAAAGGCGCUUCGGCGUCACCUUGAGAUGGCCUUGCGGUGCAUUAGCUAGUUAGUGGGGUAACGGCCCACCAAGGCGACGAUGCAUAGCCGACCUGAGAGGGUGAUCGGCCACACUGGGACUGAGACACGGCCCAGACUCCUACGGGAGGCAGCAGUAGGGAAUCUUCCACAAUGGACGAAAGUCUGAUGGAGCAACGCCGCGUGAGUGAUGAAGGUUUUCGGAUCGUAAAACUCUGUUGUAAGGGAAGAACACGUACGAGAGGAAAUGCUCGUACCUUGACGGUACCUUACGAGAAAGCCACGGCUAACUACGUGCCAGCCGCCGCGGUAACAC
rnacentral:rRNA from 1 species